CCUACGGGAGGCAGCAGUGAGGAAUAUUGGUCAAUGGGCGCGAGCCUGAACCAGCCACGUAGCGUGAAGGCUGACUGCCCUACGGGUUGUAAACUUCUUUUAUAAAGGAAUAAAGUGAGGCACGUGUGCCUUUUUGUAUGUACUUUAUGAAUAAGGAUCGGCUAACUCCGUGCCAGCAGCCGCGGUAAUACGGAGGAUCCGAGCGUUAUCCGGAUUUAUUGGGUUUAAAGGGAGCGUAGGUGGGUUGUUAAGUCAGUUGUGAAAGUUUGCGGCUUAACCGUAAAAUUGCAAUUGAUACUGGCAGCCUUGAGUACAGUUGAGGUAGGCGGAAUGCGUGGUGUAGCGGUGAAAUGCUUAGAUAUCACGAUGAACUCCGAUUGCGAAGGCAGCUUACUAAACUGCCACUGACAUUGAUGCUCGAAAGUGUGGGUAUCAAACAGGAGUAGAUACCCUGGUAGUC
rnacentral:rRNA from 1 species